rnacentral:rRNA from 1 species
UACGUAGGGGGCUAGCGUUCUCCGGAAUCAUUGGGCGUAAAGCGCGCGUAGGCGGCCAGAUAAGUCCGGUGUGAAAGUCACAGGCUCAACCUGUGAAUGCCGCUGGAAACUGUCUGGCUAGAGUCCGGAAGGGGCGAGUGGAAUUCCUGGUGUAGCGGUGAAAUGCGCAGAUAUCUGCAGGAACACCCGUGGCGAAAGCGGCGCGCUGGACCACUACUGACGCUGAGGAACGAAAGCUAGGGGAGCAAACAGG